rnacentral:tRNA from 1 species
UCGGGUGUAGCGCGCCUGCUUUGGGAGCAGGAUGCCGGGAGUUCAAGUCUCCCCACUCGGACCA